rnacentral:rRNA from 1 species
GACGUAGGGCGCGAGCGUUGUCCGGAUUUAUUGGGCGUAAAGAGCUCGUAGGCGGCUUGUUGCGUCGUCCGUGAAAACCUGUGGCUCAACUACAGGCUUGCGGUCGAUACGGGCGGGCUGGAGUUCGGUAGGGGAGACUGGAAUUCCUGGUGUAGCGGUGAAUGCGCAGAUAUCAGGAGGAACACCGGUGGCGAAGGCGGGUC